ACGGGUGAGUAACGCGUAAUCAACCUGCCCUUCAGAGGGGGACAACAGUUGGAAACGACUGCUAAUACCGCAUACGAUCCAAUCUCGGCAUCGAGACUGGAUGAAAGGUGGCCUCUAUUUAUAAGCUAUCACUGAAGGAGGGGAUUGCGUCUGAUUAGCUAGUUGGAGGGGUAACGGCCCACCAAGGCGAUGAUCAGUAGCCGGUCUGAGAGGAUGAACGGCCACAUUGGGACUGAGACACGACCCAAACUCCUACGGGAGGCAGCAGUGGGGAAUAUUGCACAAUGGGGGAAACCCUGAUGCAGCGACGCCGCGUGAGUGAAGAAGUAUUUCGGUAUGUAAAGCUCUAUCAGCAGGGAAGAUAAUGACAGUACCUGACUAAGAAGCCCCGGCUAACUACGUGCCAGCAGCCGCGGUAAUACGUAGGGGGCAAGCGUUAUCCGGAUUUACUGGGUGUAAAGGGAGCGUAGACGGAAUGGCAAGUCUGAAGUGAAAUACCCGGGCUCAACCUGGGAACUGCUUUGGAAACUGUUGUUCUAGAGUGUUGGAGAGGUAAGUGGAAUUCCUGGUGUAGCGGUGAAAUGCGUAGAUAUCAGGAAGAACACCGGAGGCGAAGGCGGCUUACUGGACAAUAACUGACGUUGAGGCUCGAAAGCGUGGGGAUCAAACAGGAUUAGAUACCCUGGUAGUCCACGCUGUAAAC
rnacentral:rRNA from 1 species